AUUGAACGCUGGCGGCAGGCCUAACACAUGCGAGUCGGACGGUAGCACAGAGGAGCUUGCUCCUCGGGUGACGAGUGGCGGACGGGUGAGUAAUGUCUGGGGAUCUGCCCGAUAGAGGGGGAUAACCACUGGAAACGGUGGCUAAUACCGCAUAACGUCGCAAGACCAAAGAGGGGGACCUUCGGGCAUCUCACUAUCGGAUGAACCCAGAUGGGAUUAGCUAGUAGGCGGGGUAACGGCCCACCUAGGCGACGAUCCCUAGCUGGUCUGAGAGGAUGACCAGCCACACUGGAACUGAGACACGGUCCAGACUCCUACGGGAGGCAGCAGUGGGGAAUAUUGCACAAUGGGCGCAAGCCUGAUGCAGCCAUGCCGCGUGUAUGAAGAAGGCCUUCGGGUUGUAAAGUACUUUCAGCGGGGAGGAAGGCGAUGUGGUUAAUAACCGCAUUGAUUGACGUUACCCGCAGAAGAAGCACCGGCUAACUCCGUGCCAGCCGCCGCAGUAA
rnacentral:rRNA from 1 species